rnacentral:rRNA from 1 species
CUGGCGGAAUGCUUUACACAUGCAAGUCGAACGGCAGCACGGACUUCGGUCUGGUGGCGAGUGGCGAACGGGUGAGUAAUAUAUCGGAACGUAUCCAAUAAUGGGGGAUAACUAAUCGAAAGGUUGGCUAAUACCGCAUACGCCCUACGGGGGAAAGCUAGGGACCUUCGGGCCUGGCGUUAAUGGAGCGGCUGAUAUCUGAUUAGCUAGUAGGUGAGGUAAAGGCUCACCUAGGCGACGAUCAGUAGCUGGUCUGAGAGGACGACCAGCCACACUGGAACUGAGACACGGUCCAGACUCCUACGGGAGGCAGCAGUGGGGAAUUUUGGACAAUGGGCGAAAGCCUGAUCCAGCCAUUCCGCGUGAGUGAAGAAGGCCUUCGGGUUGUAAAGCUCUUUCGCAAGGGAAGAAAACUUAGGCGCUAAUAUCGCUUGAGGUUGACGGUACCUUGAUAAGAAGCACCGGCUAACUACGUGCCAGCAGCCGCGGUAAUACGUAGGGUGCGAGCGUUAAUCGGAAUUACUGGGCGUAAAGCGUGCGCAGGCGGUUUUGUAAGUCAGAUGUGAAAUCCCCGAGCUCAACUUGGGAACUGCGUUUGAAACUAUAAGACUAGAAUAUGUCAGAGGGGGGUAGAAUUCCACGUGUAGCAGUGAAAUGCGUAGAGAUGUGGAGGAAUACCAAUGGCGAAGGCAGCCCCCUGGGAUAAUAUUGACGCUCAUGCACGAAAGCGUGGGGAGCAAACAGGAUUAGAUACCCUGGUAGUCCACGCCCUAAACGAUGUCUACUAGUUGUUGGUGGAGUAAAAUCCAUGAGUAACGCAGCUAACGCGUGAAGUAGACCGCCUGGGGAGUACGGUCGCAAGAUUA